rnacentral:misc_RNA from 1 species
GAAAUGCGAUAAGUAAUGUGAAUUGCAGAAUUCAGAGAAUCAUCGAAUCUUUGAACGCACAUUGCGCCCGCCAGCACUCUGGCGGGCAUGCCUGUUCGAGCGUCAUUUCAACCCUCAGAACCCCUUGCGGGAUCUGGCGUUGGGGAUUGGCAUCCAGCCAGCCCCGAAAUCUAGUGGCGGUCCCUCCGCGACCUCCCCUGUGCAGUAGCGAUACCUCGCAGCGGGACAGCGGUCUGACCACGCCGUAAAACCCCCAACUUCUCAAGGUUGACCUCGAAUCAGGUAGGAAUACCCGCUGAACUUAAGC